UAGUGGCGCACGGGUGAGUAACACGUGGAUAAUCUGCCUUUUAGUGGGGAAUAACUAGUCGAAAGGCUAGAUAAUACCGCAUGAGACCACAGCAUCUUCGGGUGCAGGGGUCAAAGAUUUAUCGCUAAAAGAUGAGUCCGCGUCCGAUUAGCUAGUUGGUGGGGUAAUGGCCUACCAAGGCGACGAUCGGUAGCUGGUCUGAGAGGAUGAUCAGCCACACUGGAACUGAGACACGGUCCAGACUCC
rnacentral:rRNA from 1 species